AAAACAUAAUGUAUUGGACCAAAGUAGGAAGAAACAGGACUAAUGUGAAAUAACUAACAAACUUACGUGACACUUUAACUUUAUUUAAUUUGAAACAAACAGUGAACACAUUUAAAAAGAAAACAAUAAAAUCUUAAAUCACAUUUCUCCUCAUCUACUCUCGUAACACAGACGCCCUCCUGUGUUAAAAACUAUUAUAUCAAAAAACAUUAAGUCAUUUUUAAUGUGAAGGAAAAACAGAAAUGUUGACUUUGGUGUUUUUUUUCUGAAAGUGAGCAAUUACCAAUAUAUGAAGGAAACAGAGGGACAAGAAUGUAAGCAAAGACCAUCAGAAAAAACAAGAUUAGAUUUUAGUACGAUUAUAAACACAAAUUUGAUGUACUUUGGAUUAAAAAUACUGCAGGAGGCUGCAACUAAUCACUUUUAGUGUCAAACACAGAUUACUUUCUCAAUCAAUCAUUUCAUCUGUAAAAUGUCAAAAAGAGGAAAAAAUGUAAAGAAAAAUUCCCAUCUGCUUCCAACAGAUAAAGACAAAGAUUUGUUUGUCUGAACAGCAGCGUUAAAUAGUCAAUUUUCUAUCGCAAUGAAGACGAACAACCCAUAAAAACAUCAAUAUGUGAAUGUGAACAGCUGCAAACAGCAAAGAUUAAAUAGAAAACUCAAUGCAGAUGACACAGUGACUCAUUAUUUGACUGACUAAUUACUGCAGCUCUACUUUCAGAGUGAUAUUUUAGGAAGCACUGUUAAAGUUUAAAUGUUUGGUCUGUGUGUGACUAGUUUUAGUAGCUACACCAACACAGGAAAUGUUAUUUAAAUGAACAGUUUAAAGGCUCAAAUGGGUAAAAUCAUCCAAAACGUGUCUUUUCUUCUUUACAUCUUACCGCAUAAUGAGUUCUUUGCCUAUACUUUAAAAUAUCAUAAUAUUUUUUUUGCAACAUUUAUGAAAAUAGACCAUUUACUUGUCACUGAGUAUUUGUACUUUGCUGUGUUGCUACUUUUACAGAAGUGAAGAAAUAUUUCAGCCCACACAGAGUUCAGUCUGACAGAUUUCUGAGCUACAAUCAGUAAAAAGAAACUUCUUUCAGCCCACCUGAUGUUCUGCUGUCACUUAAAGUCCAAAAUCCUCCAGAUGUUUCCCAGAUGUCAGGUCCUUCACCCUGAUCAAGUGGUCCUAAACAUUUCACAAAUAUGGGCUCACUACUGUUGAACUGUCUAGAACCACUGGACCAGAGAGGAUCAGCAGCGUCCGCCAGGCUCCGG
ensembl:lncRNA